rnacentral:tRNA from 1 species
GCCUGGGUGGCUCAGUCGGUUGAGCGUCCGACUUCGGCUCGGGUCAUGAUCCCAGGGUCGUGGGAUCGAGCCCCACAUUGGGUU